AAAGGGAGACCUAAUUCAGGUAUGGGAUGAAAAAAAAGUAGUCCCAACCAAGAAUCAAUCCCAAAAGGUCGGAGCGAGGCAAAAUUGGCUUUCAAACUAGGUUCUGGGUUCACACAAGACCUGAAUCAGGAACAAGGGCUAUUAGCUCAGGUGGUUAGAGCGCACCCCUGAUAAGGGUGAGGUCCCUGGUUCGAGUCCAGGAUGGCCCACCUGCACAGGUGGCCAAAACAAAGAAAAAAAGCUCCGAAUCAGCACCUUAUCUUACUUAUAUAGUAAGAGAGAAUGCUGGCUCUGAGUACAGAGUCCAGAGGAACCUUAAAACUGCAUAGAGCUAGGUGAAAAAGCCAAAAAAGAAGACCGCAAG
rnacentral:tRNA from 1 species